rnacentral:rRNA from 1 species
ACUCCUACGGGAGGCAGCAGUGGGGAAGUAUUGCACAAUGGGGGAAACCCUGAUGCAGCCAUGCCGCGUGUGUGAAGAAGGCCUUGGGUUGUAAAGCACUUUCAGUAGGGAGGAAGGUAGUGUAGUUAACACCUGCACUAUUUGACGUUACCUACAGAAGAAGCACCGGCUAACUCCGUGCCAGCAGCCGCGGUAAUACGGAGGGUGCGAGCGUUAAUCGGAAUUACUGGGCGUAAAGCGCAUGCAGGCGGCCUGUUAAGUCAGAUGUGAAAGCCCGGGGUCUUAACCUCGGAAUUGCAUUUGAAACUGGCAGGCUAGAGUCUUGUAGAGGGGUUAGAAUUUCAGGUGUAGCGGUGAAAUGCGUAGAGAUCUGAAGGAAUACCAGUGGCGAAGGCGGCCCCUGGACAAAGACUGACGCUCAGAUGCGAAAGCGUGGGAGCAAACAGGAUUAGAUACCCCUGGUAGACUGUCA